rnacentral:tRNA from 1 species
AAGGGGACUCUAACCCCCGUCCCUAACUCCCAAAGCUAGGAUCCUAAUUUAGACUAUUGUUUGCCGGGCUCUGCCU